UGAUGAAUAAAGGGAGUUUAGUUUUUAAUUUAAGAGCAGCAUUGUGAAGCAACAAGCUGCAGAAACACAGAAUAUGUACAACAGGAUUCAGUUUGCAGUCGAUGGAGGGAAACUAUCAGAGCUGCCUCACCUCCACCUUUAAAUAUCUUUAGUUUUGAUUUUUCAUUGUUUAAAACUCCACUAAGAUCUAGAUCUCAUUUUCAAGAGAGACCCGAGCAACAUACAACACAACAACCUGGCUACACAAAAGAAAACUGAACCAAAACAUUCGCUCGACUUUAAAACAAGUUAGAAACGUUUUAAAAGCAGUGGUAGAAUCACGUUUCUAAGUAGCGCUCGAUAAAAUCCAAAGAAAUGCGAUGAGGAGCCGAUUCCAUCUCUGAAUCCUCGCUUCCCUUUCUCUGCCCAACACCAAGAACCUGCAGCAGCGUAAAGAACGGGCAGCAACAGGGAGUUAAACCAGCUGCAGCCCACUUUUAUAAACCUGGAUCAUCAAGUGAUGGUUUUUUCUACAAGAGACGUUGAGACGCUGCGAGCGGCCUAGUCCAAACCUGACAGCACAAAGAGAGUUCCUUCUGACAGACGAUCAGGAUCCAUCAAAAACACGACCUUCAUUUUCUGUGUGCGUUAAAAAGGAAACCCUAAAAUAAAACCCAGAUUUUUAGAAUCGGUUUGUGAAGCUGGAGAGCAACAGAUCGAUGGCUUUCGUCUUGUCCAGAUUCAGAACCAGCUUCCCAGUCUGGAAACCAGUUUGAACUGCAUUGAAAGCAGACUGUAAAAAGUUAAUUUGUCCAGAAAUAAAAACCCUGGAAGGAAAGACUGAAA